CCGAUAGAUAAGCUAGGUUUCCCAUAAUGCACUCACCAGCUGCGGUCAAUGGAGAAGUGCUGCUGUUUAUGCCUAAGGCAACACAAGGAAAUCAGAAGGACUUUCUCUGAAAAAUAAGAUCACACUAUUGUUGCUUAGUCAGAUGGGCAUCAGAAGAAACUGGUAAAUACUUUGCUGGUUUUACUGGUUGGGUCUCGGACCUAGAGAGAAACGGACCAGGUGGUGAACAGGGAGGAAAAAGAGUAAAAACUUUUUACAAAA